CUAGGGAUGGGCCUGGUGAUGGGGCUUUUUCAAGCUCACAGAUAAUUCUAAUGUAUAACCUGGGCUGAGACUCUGCUGUGAGUGCAGAAGAAAGAGCUGGCCAUAUUUAAGCGAAAUUGGGAAUUGCUGAACAUUGCAGAGAGAGACAGAGAGAGAGAGCCCAACCAGAUACCAAGAGGGAAGUAUCUCAGCGAAUCUGCCUCCAGCUAGUGACUGUUUUUUUACCUUCUUCUGUUCUUGGAGUUGUCCAUUUAUCUCCCACUUCCAGACCUGGAGCCUCGCCUCCUGUUUUUCAGACCCAAACUUCGCAUCAUCGUUGACAGCCCUGAGGACCCCUCCACCCAGCACUCCCCCAAGCAGAGUAGCUCCGAGGCACACUCAGAAGCAACUUGAUGUAGGUGCAGAAAUGACUGAGUAAAGAAUUUGGACUAUUUUGGACGCAGCAGGGAUGAUAAAAAGAUAGAAUCAAGAAGUAUAAGGGAAAUGAGCAUUCAGAUGACCAUCCCUGAAACAGAUCUGCAUGGAGAAGGGAGCAAAGUAGAUCAGACAUGGCCCAGUGGACCAGCAGAGAAUGUUGCACUGGACAUCACUAUCGAGCAGAAGGUCAGGUGUUGUAAGAGGAAUGGGAACAAAAGUUCUGGAAGGAUAUGUGAUGAUGAACACUAAGAGAGGCCCUCCCACGCCACUCCGGGGCAGCAGGAAGUGUGUGGAGAGCCUCAUGCCCUUUCUGCGUUGCUGCCACCAAGCCAGCAUUCCUACGCUCUGGCUGUCACAGCAUGCCAGCACCCCCGAUAGAUGGAGAAUGCAAGCAGGAGUCACAUCUGCUAGUUCACAGCUCUCUCCUUGGCUCCUACAACAGUGCCUGGCGUCUGGCUGGCCCCCAGAAAGAAGUUGAAGAGGAGAUGGUACCAUGUGAAGUCAUUGCUGCUGUCAAACCCAGAAGUGAUGGUGAAGGGGGACGCUGGAUAAUUGUCAGAGACUCAAGACAUUGGCACAGACCCUCUCUGCAUGAGCACAUGACACCACCAAUGGGAAAGAGCAGGAGUUCUGGGAAGAUAUCCAAGGGACCUGAGGGAAGCAAAGUUUCUUCAGACAGCUCAGAGUAGGCUGUGGCCUCCUGAACCUUCUGUCCCACAGUUGGUAAGUAGUGGUGUUAAUGCUCAUUCCAGACAGACAAGACCUUACCUCUCCCCACACCAGCCAUUCUGAAUCCAUCUGAGGUUUUCAUUUAUUUUUCACUUUGAACAAACAUUCUGUGCUAAAUGAACAGGUGCACAUGGGCUGUCUGGUUUGACCAUCACAAAAGGCCAAUGAACUUUCAACUAUAAGAUGAGUAAGGUCUGAGGAUCUAAUGUAUCAACUGUAGUUGAUAUCACUGUACUACUGUAUAAUUAAAAUUUGCCAAGAGAGGGAUCCCUGGGUGGCGCAGCAGUUUGGCACCUGCCUUUGGCCCGGGGCAUGAUCCUGGAGACCCGAGAUCGAGUCCUGAAUGGGGCUCCCUGCAUGGAACCUGCUUCUCCCUCUGCCUGUGUCUCUGCCUCUCUCUCUCUCUCUCUCUCUCUGUCUAUCAUGAAUAAAUGAAUAAAAUCUUUUUAAAAAAUUUGCCA
rnacentral:lncRNA from 12 species